rnacentral:rRNA from 1 species
CCUACGGGAGGCAGCAGUGGGGAAUAUUGGGCAAUGGACGCAAGUCUGACCCAGCAACGCCGCGUGAAGGAAGAAGGCUUUCGGGUUGUAAACCUCUUUUAAUGGGGAAGAGCAGCAGACCGUACGCCUUGCAUAAGCUACGGCUAACUACGUGCCAGCAGCCGCGGUAAUACGUAGGUGGCAAGCGUUGUCCGGAUUUACUGGGUGUAAAGGGCGUGCAGCCGGAGAGACAAGUCAGGUGUGAAAUACACGGGCUCAACCCGUGAACUGCAUUUGAAACUGGUUGCCUUGAGUGUCGGAGAGGUAAUCGGAAUUCCUUGUGUAGCGGUGAAAUGCGUAGAUAUAAGGAAGAACACCGGUGGCGAAGGCGGAUUACUGGACGGUAACUGACGGUGAGGCGCGAAAGCGUGGGGAGCAAACAGGAUUAGAUACCCUAGUAGUC